rnacentral:rRNA from 1 species
CCCUUAGAUGUUCUGGGCCGCACGCGCGCUACACUGAUGCAUUCAACGAGCCUAUCCUUGACCGACAGGUCCGGGUAAUCUUUGAAUCUGCAUCGUGACGGGGAUAGAUUAUUGCAAUUAUCAAUCUUCAACGAGGAAUGCCUAGUAGGCGCAAGUCAUCAGCUUGCGUCGAUUACGUCCCUGCCCUUUGUACACACCGCCCGUCGCUCCUACCGAUUGGGUGUGCUGGUGAAAUGUUCGGAUCGGCCGUUUGUCGCGGUUUCCGCGGCUCGUGGCUGAGAAGUUCAUUAAACCCUCCCACCUAGAGGAAGGAGAAGUCGUAACA